GAUGAACGCUGGCGGCGUGCCUAAUACAUGCAAGUAGAACGCUGAAGGAGGAGCUUGCUUCCCUGGACGAGUUGCGAACGGGUGAGUAACGCGCAGGGAACCUGCCUCGUAGCGGGGGAUAACUAUUGGAAACGAUAGCUCAUACCCCAUAAGAGUAGUUGUUCCAUGACAUUUACUUAUAAGGUGCAAUUUCACCUCUACCAGAUGGACCUUCGUUGUAUUAGCUCGUUGGUGGGGGAACGGCUUACCAAGGCGACGAUACUUAGCCGGCCUGGGGAGGUGAUCCGGCACACUGGGACGGAAGCCCGGCUCAGAAUCCUACGGGGGGCAGCAAUAGGGGAUCGUCGGCAAAGGAGGGAAGUCUGACCGGGGAACGGCGGGUGGAGGAAGGAGGGUCUUGGAUCGUUAAACUCCUUUGUAUGAGAAAAACGAGUGUUGGAGUUGAAAGUGCACACCUUGACGGUACCUAACCAGAAAGGGACGGCUAACUACGUG
rnacentral:rRNA from 1 species